rnacentral:rRNA from 1 species
GACCCGAAACCCGGUGAUCUAGCCAUGGGCAGGUUGAAGGUUGGGUAACACUAACUGGAGGACCGAACCGACUAAUGUUGAAAAAUUAGCGGAUGACUUGUGGCUGGGGGUGAAAGGCCAAUCAAACCGGGAGAUAGCUGGUUCUCCCCGAAAGCUAUUUAGGUAGCGCCUCGUGAAUUCAUCUCCGGGGGUAGAGCACUGUUUCGGCAAGGGGGUCAUCCCGACUUACCAACCCGAUGCAAACUGCGAAUACCGGAGAAUGUUAUCACGGGAGACACACGGCGGGUGCUAACGUCCGUCGUGAAGAGGGAAACAACCCAGACCGCCAGCUAAGGUCCCAAAGUCAUGGUUAAGUGGGAAACGAUGUGGGAAGGCCCAGACAGCCAGGAUGUUGGCUUAGAAGCAGCCAUCAUUUAAAGAAAGCGUAAUAGCUCACUGGUCGAGUCGGCCUGCGCGGAAGAUGUAACGGGGCUAAACCAUGCAC